rnacentral:rRNA from 1 species
CCUACGAGUGGCUGCAGUAGGGAAUAUUGCUCAAUGGGGGAAACCCUGAAGCAGCAACGCCGCGUGGAGGAUGAAGGUUUUCGGAUUGUACACUCCUUUUGUUAGAGAAGAUACUGACGGUAUCUAACGAAUAAGCACCGGCUAACUACGUGCCAGCAGCCGCGGUAAUACGGAGGGUGCAAGCGUUACUCGGAAUCACUGGGCGUAAAGGGCGCGUAGGCGGGAUAGCAAGUCAGAUGUGAAAUCCUAUGGCUUAACCAUAGAACUGCAUUUGAAACUGUUAUUCUAGAGUAUGGGAGAGGUAGGUGGAAUUCUUGGUGUAGGGGUAAAAUCCGUAGAGAUCAAGAGGAAUACUCAUUGCGAAGGCGACCUGCUAGAACAUAACUGACGCUGAUGCGCGAAAGCGUGGGGAGCAAACAGGAUUAGAUACCCGAGUAGUC